rnacentral:rRNA from 1 species
AGAGUUUGAUCCUGGCUCAGGAUGAACGCUGGCGGCGUGCCUAACACAUGCAAGUCGAACGUUAGAGCUUAGCAAUAGGCUCAAAAGUGGCGAACGGGUGAGUAACACGUAGGUAACCUGCCGCGCAGAGGGGGAUAACGACUAGAAAUGGUCGCUAAUACCGCAUGGUACCAUGGAGAGGGGACUCUUUAUGGUUAAAACCUUGGUGCUGCGCGAGGGGCCUGCGCCCGAUUAGUUAGUUGGUGAGGUAACGGCUCACCAAGACGAUGAUCGGUAGCUAGUCUGAGAGGAUGAUUAGCCACACGGGAACUGAGACACGGUCCCGACUCCUACGGGGGGCAGCAGUGAGGAAUAUUGCACAAUGGACGCAAGUCUGAUGCAGCAACGCCGCGUGGAGGAUGACGGCCCUUGGGUUGUAAACUCCUUUUUUCAGGGAAAGAGUGAGGACGUACCAUGAGA